rnacentral:rRNA from 1 species
AUUGAACGCUGGCGGCAGGCCUAACACAUGCAAGUCGAGCGAGCGGCGGACGGGUGAGUAAUGUCUGGGAAACUGCCUGCUGGAGGGGGAUAACUACUGGAAACGGUAGCUAAUACCGCAUACCAUCAGAUGUGCCCCGAUGGGAUUAGCUAGUAGGGGGGGUAAUGGCUCACCUAGGCGACAAUCCCUAGCUGGGCUGAGAGGAUGACCAGCCAAACUGGAACUGGGACCCGGUCCCGACUCCUACGGGGGGCAGCAGUGGGGAAUAUUGGACAAUUGGGGGAAACCUGAUCCAGCCAUGCCGCGUGGGUGAAGAAGGCCUUAUGGUUGUAAAGCACUUUAAGCGAGGAGGCGUUACUCGCAGAAUAAGCACCGGCUAACUCCGUGCCAGCAGCCGCGGUAAUAC